GGCCCGUUCGUCUAGGGGUUAGGACGCCGCCCUCUCAAGGCGGUAACAGGGGUUCGAUUCCCCUACGGGCUA
rnacentral:tRNA from 1 species